UACGGGGGGGGGCAAGCGUUGUUCGGAAUUACUGGGCGUAAAGGGCUCGUAGGCGGCCAACUAAGUCAUACGUGAAAUCCCUCGGCUUAACCGGGGAACUGCGUCUGAUACUGGAUGGCUUGAGUUCGGGAGAGGGAUGCGGAAUUCCAGGUGUAGCGGUGAAAUGCGUAGAUAUCUGGAGGAACACCGGUGGCGAAGGCGGCAUCCUGGACCGAUACUGACGCUGAGGAGCGAAAGCCAGGGGGAGCAAAACGGGG
rnacentral:rRNA from 1 species